UAGUGGUGGUGUCAAAAGAGAAGGUGAUUCAUAGUAACCGAACGGAUCGCAUCAUAUUAUAAUCAUUUCGGUGAUUGGCGAUAGAUCAUUCAAGUUUCUGACCUAUCAGCUUUCGACGGUAGUGUAUUGGACUACCGUGGCAGUGACGGGUAACGGGGAAUUAGGGUUCGAUUCCGGAGAGGGAGCCUGAGAAACGGCUACCACAUCUAAGGAAGGCAGCAGGCGCGCAAAUUACCCAAUCCUGACUCAGGGAGGUAGUGACAAGAAAUAACAACACUGGAAAUUGUAUUUCUAGUGAUUGGAAUGAUGGGAAUCCAAACCCCUUUCAGAGUAACAAUUGGAGGGCAAGUCUGGUGCCAGCAGCCGCGGUAAUUCCAGCUCCAAUAGCGUAUAUUAAAGUUGUUGCAGUUAAAAAGCUCGUAGUUGGAUAUCUGCUGGAAGCAAUCAGUCCGCCCUUUUCGUAAGGGUGUGCACUUGAUGAAUUCUGGCAUGAUUUCAUCCUAAUAAUAAUAUAUUAUUAUAUUAGGUUGAUUCCUAGUAUAAUAAUAUUUAUUAUUAUGGGGAUGACAGUUACUUUGAGAAAAUUAGAGUGUUUGAAGCAGGCUUUUGUUGCCUUGAAU
rnacentral:rRNA from 1 species